ensembl:lncRNA
GCCCCCCGGCCCCGCGCCCCCUCCCCGCCGGGCACGCACACACCACACACCGAGCCGUGCCUCUCCGGCACCGCCGCCGCCACCACCACGUUUCUGACUCUUUUUAUUUUUUUUUUAUUUUAUUAUUAUUAUUUUUUUUUUUUACGACAAAAAUCGUUUUUCUUUAGGUUUGCUUUCUUUUAGCCCUGGGGUUCGCCCAAAGGUUCCUCGCCUCUUCUGGCAAGGAGGGCACAUUUUUUGUGGAGCUGUUCCCCGAAAUGGCCACGGAAGAUCUGGCAUCGUCAUUACCGAUUUCCUGUUUCGUUAUGCAAAAUGUAUAGAGUGGAAAUGCAGCAGUUGGUGCCAGAGGUCGAAGCGUUCUCAGCGGGGGAAAGACAUGGUUUUCAGACAUAAGAGGGGGAUUUACUGCACGGAUGAUUUAUUGUAACUUCUUGUUUCCAGAGUUAUCUCUAUAAAGUACUUUAGGAGCUUUCCAGCAUGGAAAAAUUCCACCAACUUUUAAGAACAAGCCCGAAGCAAGAUGGCUUUGUGGCUGACAAGAGAGACUGCAGGCCCUGGUUCCACUCUGCAGCACAUGGCCUGCACAGGAUGUCCCAGGGCAAAGGGGAGAAGGAUGCUGAGAGCACGCCUUGGUAAGCUAGGAGACCUCUCAGAGUUUCCUAAUUGUCAGGCCCAAAGGCAGACGUUGCACGUGAAAAACUGUGUUUUUCAGAUCUUUACAUGCACAAGUUUGGUUUCCUUUAUGAUGAUUACAGUGCCUUUUUGUUUUCACUACGGGAGCUCUUUGGAUGUGAAGCACACUGUGCUAGCGGUGGGUUAAUUCACCCCAUUGCACCCAACAAGGACGGGAGCUGAGCACCCUCCAGGUAAUGGGAAUUGAGCAGAAGGAGCUGCCCAAGGUCACUGAGCCAAGGGCUCCACCAGCACUUCCUCAUGUGCAGGAACCUCUCCCAGUGCUCAUGUGUGGGGCCUCAUCAAAACUUCAGUCAAGGACAUGGGGUCACCUCCAAGGCAGGGGCUCGGCUCUGGGUCCAGCCCUGUGUGCAAGGCAUUAGACCCUGCCAAAAUGCAGACCAGAAAGUACAUGCCACCCUCACUCAGUAAGAUGUAUUUCUAUCUGAAGUCCUCCAAUUAGUAAAUCAGAAUGUACAUUUUAUAGUGCAUGGGGUCCGGCAGUACUGGAGUAGGGAGCUGAUCGUCCCUCUGUACCUCAAGCACUGUGUUCAGUUUUAGGCCCCUCACUACAAGAAAGACAGUGAGGCCCCGGAGUACAUUCAGAGAAGGGCAGUGAUGCCGUGAAGGGUCUGGAGCACAAGUCUUAUGCAGAGUGGCCAUGGAACUGGGAUUGUUCAGCCUGGAGGAGUCUCAGGGGAGACCUCAUCACUUUCUGCAACGACCUGAAAGGAAGCUGUGGCAAGAUCCACAGCCUCCGAAUGUUCUUCAGAUUAUAUUUCCACUGCCUAAAAUGCAUCAGCAGCCAUGCUCAUUUCCAGAACGGCUCUCUGAAGUACAAUGUCCUUUCCAGAGCCUGGACAAUUCCCCUCUGAGCUGUCCUCCAGCACUUACUAACUUAAACUUAAUAGAAACCGCAGGCUCCCAGUGGCAGCUGUCAUCACAGCAACGAAGUGAUUAGAUCUGCUCUGUUGCCUAAUCACAGGACGAGAUGUGGCAUGCAUUCCUGCAAUCUGCUUAAGUACUCCCUAUCCGGAUCCUCUGAUUUCAAGGAUAGUCUUUGGGAAAUUAUCUUUAGAGUAAAUCAUUUUUUUUUUUUAAGUGCACUUGAUUAAAGCGAGGCAUCUAUCAUAUCGCAGAAUUAUUGAUUAUGAUAAGCACUUUGAACUUACCCAGUGUUUUUCAUCUCAGAAUCUCCUAAUAUUUUGUUGCAAGUGGAAAGGAUUAUUAGUCCCACUGCAGAUUGAAAACUUGGAGGAAAACUGAGACUCUACAUGAUUCACUGAGGAUACUCUAUCACAUGGUGGAGCAGGACCAGUGAGCUCAUGGCUUUACUGUCCUUGAGGAGGUCUACAAGUGAGAGGCCUUUUGUUGCAUUUGUUUAGGAUGGAAACCAGAAGUCUUCCCUGCAGAUUUUGGGUUCAACACAGUUUCCAGUGUGAUUCUGCACCUGUUUUCUGCUCGAGAACCACUGCCUUCUGUACAGGAACCGGGAAAGGAACUAAGUAUUACAAGGGGGAAGGCAUUUAAAAAGACUGUAUACAUCUCACUCAUCACUCAUACUCAUGAUCUUACUUGACCAUCAGUAUGUGCUUCUGUUGAGAUAUGUCUACCUUCGUGUCAAGUUUUGGGGAUGGAAAGCUAAAUCUUCUCCCUAACCAGUGCCUGUCUUAAUGCCUUUCAGCAACUGUGUAUUUACCUACUUGAAGAUGUGCUGCAGAGCUGUGGGCCUGUAUCCAUCUUCUGCGCCUGUUCUGGUCUGGGACAUGUGGUGUGACCAGAAUUGGACAUCCAAUCCCUUCCUUGUCCCAGCACCUCUUCUUUUAAGUGAGGUUUGGCUGGAGGUGCUGCUCACAUAGCCACAUUCUGCAUACAUUCUCACAGCAGACAAGAUAACGGUUAUCACUGGAGCAUACACAGCUCCACACAUCAGUAGAGGCCCUUCACACCAGAAAAGGGAUUCAGUGGUUCCUGCUGCUUUAUCUCAUCUGCACAUCCCUCCUACUUUUCCAUCUGUUUCACAUCCCGUAGUCGGGAGCUGAAGAAAGUAAGUAGCAUUCUAACAAAGUUGGAUCAGAAGAGAAGUGUGGUAAAAUUUAUAAGAUCCGUGUAGAUGGUUAAAAGUUGGUUCAAAAGAAGUUAUUUAAAAUUAUCCCCACACCUGGGGAAGCUGGAAAGGAUCACUUAUUUCCCCCCCACUCCAUGCAAUUUUUGGUCAAGUACCAGGAAGCCACAAAACUGAACAAAAAAUCCAGUGGUCAAAAGCAAAGGGCAGUGACUGCAACUGCACUGUCCUCUCCUCCUCUGGACUGGUGGGCCCUCCUGAUGGCUCGACAGAGAUCAGCCACGGUCCUCGCUGCUCUUCUCUGGAUCAAGGGAUCUUCCUGUGCUGAAACCCAAACCAGGACUUUAAAUAAAAGAAAAAUCGGGCUUUGGGGCGUGCCUACUACCUAUAGUAAGAAAAAACCAAACAAACAUAGCAGCAUGUGCUACAGAGAAACAAGGAACUAAAAGCAUGGCAUACCAGAACUUGUUUCACUUACGCAAUUCUGUUUGAAAACGUUCUGGCUUGAGCCAAGGGGUGAGUGAUAGCGAAUUGAUGGGAACCUCACCCUUCUGCUGGUAAAUAUUCAGCGAGAAGAGAGGUGGAGUCCAUAAACAAUCAAAAAAAGCUCUCCAAGAUUGCAGCAUUAUUAAAUUAUUACAGUCUGAGCAAUUUUUAAGCAGUGCAAACAUUUGCUUUCCAUUUCAUGGCUGGCUGUUGCUGACGACGUACGCGGUCUCUGUGGACACAAGAGCCCCCCCACUCUGUGUUUGCUUUUUGGUUUUCACGCAAGAGGAGGCUCAGCGCCCGCAUGUAGCAUUACAUGCACAAAGCUAUUUGCUUUUCUCUGACGUUCAGGUAGUUUUAAAUGGUAACUGUUGCUUUACAUUUAAUUUCUCAGGUAAGUUAAACAAACACGUGCCACUGACAACAAACACCGCUGCUCAUGGCUCAUUAAGUCGUGUUUCCGAAGCAGGUAAUCCUCUGCCUGAACACACAGCCGCAGUGGGGUUUAUGAGCUGUGCACUGUGAAGAGGAUGGGAGCACAACCAAAGGCCUCGGUCUUCAGGACUUCUGCAAGCAGCAAUACUUCGUCAAUUCAAUCUCCAGUUCAAAAAAUGUCUGUAUUAAAAUUCAUGGAUUUUCUCCCAUACCUUUUUCCUUCUAUUUCCCCCUUUCCCCUUUAUUAAGGGCCAGGGUCUGCCACGGUAAGGGUGAAGUGACAUCGUUCUUGUGAUGAAAGUGUUUGUUUUCUCCAAUGCCAGUGAUACAAAGGUAUUUAAUGCCUUGCACGUGGCAAAUGUUGAUACACUAACACUUGAACUAUUUAUAUCCUCAUCAUGCUGCUGCAGUAAAACUUGUCCUUUAGUUCGUAGUCCUGUGGCUUAUUUUGUGUUAGCAUACUGCCCUACAUGGCAGUAACACCGGAUGGUGCAUGCUGACAGUGUGCAAGCCAAGGUGUGUAGGCAGACAUAGCAUCAUGCAAUCACAGAAGCAUUGGAGUCCCAUAAAGCAAAGGACUCAUAAAUGUCAUCUAGUCCAACAGAGGGACACCUACCAAGUCAGGCUGCUCAGAGCCCUGUCCACCUUGACCUUGAAUGACUCCAGGGAUGAGGCAUCUACCACCUCCCUGGACAACCUGUUCUAGCACUUUGCUACCCUUAUUAUGCAAAACAAAUAUUUCUUAUUUCCAAUCUAAAUCUUCCCUCUAUAAGUGUUGCUUCCAAGAUAAGCGUCGCUUCCAAGUUUAAGGAAUAUCACCAAACAAGACCAAGUUUUGAGCUCCCAGUGCCAACUUCAAGUAUUACGUAGAAGCAAAAUUCCAAGCUCAGCAGAAGUGAGAGCAGCUGCUCGCAGCUGAGCAAGGCAUGAGUGAGUGAGUCUUCAUGAGGGAAGAGGUGGCACUGGGGCAGGGAAGUGCUGGGAGGUCUCCUGAUGCAUCAGCUGCGCAAUGGGAGUGUGGAAGGAGCAGACGUUGUAUUGUAAUGUGCACUGGAGUUCAGGUUCAUAGCAAACUUCAUUUGUUGCUUCAAUACCAGACCUGCAGAAAGGCUUCCGCUCCUUAAAACUUUCUUCUAUUUCCUUUUUUAAAAAAAUUAUUUCUUUCUUUUUGUAUUAUACUAUUUAAUCUACAGAAAGAUAUCAUUUCUACCUGCAAUUCUUGCCUCAUAAUGUUAUGUGUUUUUGUUGUUGUUGUUGUUUUUGCUGCCUCUUAACACACUUUAAAUACACAUUGAACGCAACUUACUUUGACCUGUGAUAACAUGAUCUAUUUUCUCAUUUCACAGUGUGUGAAGGGCACAGUAUACUCUUGUGGCAAAAUACUUUGAGGAAAGAAACAGAACUGGAUGACGAUUCUUGCAGGGCACUCCAGACUUGGGAAUAGACUUUUCUGAGAACAUCCCACAGCUGCUCUGCAGUUUUUCCAGCGUCCUUUUGAAGAUGUGUGGAACAAUUUCAGUGUUAGUUCUUCGACACAGACAUUGAAAACUCUUUAGUUGAGCUCUGUUUUCCACAUCAGUUUAGGUGUGUCCAGGGAGUUAGGAGAAGGCCUCAUGCCCUGAGCAUAUGCGCUGGCCUGUGACCACCAUCAUUCUUCUCAGUUGCAUUCUCUCCCAAGAACAUUUACCCUGCUUGUCACCGCCCUGUCCCAUGCCCAGCUCCUCAGAGGUGACUGGAGCAGGACCUCCAGGCGACAUGGUGAGACCAGGCCUCAUGUCUGCUGCAGGGACUUCUGGGGCUGCAGCAAGUAGCUGCACUGCCAGCACAGUGUACCAAACAAGGUGAUCCUAUGAAACAUGCAGGAGCAGUAGUGCCUGCUCCCCAAGUGGUAUUUAUCUCAACACGAAGCAGAAUCCUGUCUGACCGCAAUCACCCCAGUCCUGUGACGCCUGAGCACUUGGGGAUACCCCCAGCACUUCAUUUGCUUCUGCUCCACUGUUCUGCUGUGCUCUGAACUGUUUGCAGAGGGUAUAUAAGAAACAAGGGCCACAGGAGGAUUGUUGCCAACACUGUGCUUCCAUUCCAUGACUCGUAGUGAAUGUUUAUGCUUUUGUUAGUACCUAUCCAACAUGCAAUACCUAUUAGUUUAUGUUUUGCAAGUGGAAAACCUUACUUUUUUAAUACAUGUAAGUAAUAACUAAAAUAAAAAUGCCACUUAUUAUUUAAAUAACUUAUUCAAGCAUAGUUGCUGAUGGCACCUAGUACAGCGAUUACCUGACAUUCCUCUUCCUGGACCAUAUUUCUGUUCUUUUAAACUUUACCUAACUUCAGCUGUUUGUCCUGGCAGUUUCAGUAUGAAAACAGACAUUUCAAGACAUGACUGCUGUUUGCAGGUGGCCAGCUUGGUGCUUA